rnacentral:rRNA from 1 species
AUUGAACGCUGGCGGCAUGCUUUACACAUGCAAGUCGAACGGUAACAGGUUAAGCUGACGAGUGGUGAACGGGUGAGUAAUGCAUCGGAACGUGCCCGAUCGUGGGGGAUAACGCAGCGAAAGCUGCGCUAAUACCGCAUACGAUCUGAGGAUGAAAGCGGGGGACCGUAAGGCCUCGCGCGAUCGGAGCGGCCGAUGUCAGAUUAGGUAGUUGGUGGGGUAAAGGCCCACCAAGCCGACGAUCUGUAGCUGGUCUGAGAGGACGACCAGCCACACUGGGACUGAGACACGGCCCAGACUCCUGCGGGAGGCAGCAGUGGGGAAUUUUGGACAAUGGGCGAAAGCCUGAUCCAGCAAUGCCGCGUGCAGGAAGAAGGCCUUCGGGUUGUAAACUGCUUUUGUACGGAGCGAAAAGGUCCUUUCUAAUACAAGGGGCUCAUGACGGUACCGUAAGAAUAAGCACCGGCUAACUACGUGCCAGCAGCCGCCGUAACAC